rnacentral:rRNA from 1 species
GGGGAAUUUUGGACAAUGGGGGCAACCCUGAUCCAGCCAUGCCGCGUGAGUGAAGAAGGCCUUCGGGUUGUAAAGCUCUUUCAGCCGGGAAGAAAGCGCACUCUCUAACAUAGAGUGUGGAUGACGGUACCGGAAGAAGAAGCACCGGCUAACUACGUGCCAGCAGCCGCGGUAAUACGUAGGGUGCGAGCGUUAAUCGGAAUUACUGGGCGUAAAGGGUGCGCAGGCGGUUUUGUAAGACAGAUGUGAAAUCCCCGGGCUUAACCUGGGAACUGCGUUUGUGACUGCAAGGCUAGAGUACGGCAGAGGGGGGUGGAAUUCCGCGUGUAGCAGUGAAAUGCGUAGAUAUGCGGAGGAACACCGAUGGCGAAGGCAACCCCCUGGGCCUGUACUGACGCUCAUGCACGAAAGCGUGGGGAGCAAAC